CCUACGGGUGGCAGCAGUAGGGAAUUUUGCGCAAUGGGGGAAACCCUGACGCAGCAACGCCGCGUGAUCGAUGAAGCCCUUCGGGUUGUAACGAUCUGUCAGUGGGGACGAAAGUUGACGGUACCAACAGAGGAACCACCGGCUAAACCCGUGCAAGCAGCAGCGGUAAAAUGGGGGGUGCAAGCGUUGUCAGGAAACAUUGGGCGGAAAGAGUUCGGAGGUGGCACGUUAAGUGUGGAGUGAAAGAUGGUAGUUCAACUUCCGUAGGGUACUUGUUACUGGCGCACUUGAAGGCGGUGGAGGUAGAGGGAGUACCUGGUGUGGCGGUGUGAUGCGUAUAGAG
rnacentral:rRNA from 1 species